GAGGUUCAUUGCGAUGAUGUUGUAUAUCGACGUAGGCGACGACGAUAGGGUCAUAUUGAAAUGCAGGAGGGGAUACUGCCAUCGGCCGUUGAGUAAGGGAUGGAGUUGAUUGUUGAAGGCACGCCAUCGAGCAUAUUAAUCAGAUGCAUGACCUUGAGCUGUGCAUCUUGAGAUGGAGUAUGAUAUACAUGUUCGAGGACGAGAUCGAGGACGCGGACGUGGACGUGGACGUGGAUGUAUCAAGGGACGAGGGCGAGAGCAUGGGAGGGGUAUGGAGGGAACUUGAUUUUUUUUUUUUUUUUUU
rnacentral:lncRNA from 1 species